rnacentral:rRNA from 1 species
GCCCAUGUCUGGGGAAUAACCCGUCGAAAGGCGGACUAACUCCCCAUGGUCUCCGAUGAGGACAUCUGAAUUGGAGUAAAGCUUCGCGGACAUGGAUGGGGAUGCGUCUGAUUAGGUAGUAGGCGGGGUAACGGCCCACCUAGCCUACGAUCAGUAGGGGUUCUGAGAGGAAGGUCCCCCACAUUGGAACUGAGACACGGUCCAAACUCCUACGGGAGGCAGCAGUGAGGAAUAUUGGUCAAUGGACGAGAGUCUGAACCAGCCAAGUAGCGUGCAGGAUGACGGCCCUAUGGGUUGUAAACUGCUUUUGCGCGGGGAUAACACCCUCCAC